GUGCUAGGCAGCAGUGAAAAUGCUGCCCAGAAAAUGCUGGACGCCACGACCGACCUCUCUCCUCUCACAGAGCGGUCCCGAUGCUCCCUCGUAUGCUCUUCGGGGGGUCCAGUUUUUGAUAUGCCCAUGAAGUGUCUCUGAUACAGUUUUCUUUUAGUCCAUAAAAAUAGGAUGGGACCAGAGAAAGAAAGAACAGAGCCUCAGAUGGCGAGGCCAAGGAAGUGGCGAGAAGGUGGGGGAGAAACACUGUGAGCACGAGAGACACGCGUAGGAGUCGUCAUUAAGCUACUUUCAAGGGGACCUUUCAUGGAAGCCUUAUCUUUGUCAAUUCAAUUUGAAGACUCCCGAUCCACAGGUCUGCAGAUGACCCUGUGUAGAGACCCUCUUGGAUUAGCUGAUGAAAUGGACAUGAGAAAAUAUGCAUGGCUUCCGCAUCCAUGGAGUCAACCAUUUAAAAAUAUUUAAAAAUGUUUUUUAAAGAUUGCCACUAUACUGUACAGGCACAGAAUUGUUCUUGUCUCUAUUCCCUAAACAAUACGGCAUGUAACUAUAUCCUAUGUUCAGUGUGGGGCAGUUACAUUGUGCUGGGCAUUGUGAGUGGACAUGAUGGGAAUCAUGCAGGAAGACAGGAGGGUUACAGACAGCUAACUUGCCAUUUUAUGGAAGAGACUGGAGUAUCCAUGGAUUUUGGUCUCCAUGGGGAUCUUGGAACCAGUCUCACAUGGACAUUGAGAGUGACUGACCACAUGGAAGAAAACACAAGUCCUCCCAAUUGCCCUGAUUGGGCCCAGCGAAGGGGGGUUCUUCUGGCCCUUUUGUGCAGUGGGACAGAUUUCAGUGUAAGACAAAGUAGUUUCCCCUCCACCCUGACACCUGUGGCCUGAUGUCCUCACUGCCCUGCCAGAGUCACCCCACUCCUUCAACCAGUGGACCUCCUGGAGCCUCUGGUCCUGACACCUAGAGAAGUCAUUAUUCAUUUAUUUGAAAAGUGUGCAUGGAGCAUUGAUUGGCAUCAGGCCUCAAGCUCAUGUCUUGCUUGACCUUUGUCUUGGAGGAUCUCAUAGGUAGCAGGGCAUCCUGGCUUCCUAGCUAAUGCCUGGACUGUGUCCCGCGGGAGUGCAGGGGCCAGCACAGGAGCGGUCUAAGAAGUCAGCACCAGAGAGCAGACCCAUCUCACCCAGGCCCUCUCUCUGCCUGGUAGAUGUGCUCUAACUGUGGGAGGGAGCAGGAAGCAGCCACUCCCAAAACCAAGAAGCAAACACCAAAACUAAACCUCACGAAGCCUUCAGGAGGUCAAAGGUCAAGUUCAUUUCACUGCAGAUUUGAGAGGCUUCUCCCACAACUGAGGUACCCAAAGCCUGAGGACCCGAAUCCUGCAAUGCAGCAGGAGGGCCUAGGGCUGGCCCGGGCAUCUCCUCUCACUCUCCAGGUUUCUUAAAGAACACACUCGCCUUUAUUGGCAUUAACACUGCCAUCACAAAGAACUGGGAGUCUCCCGGAGUACAAGGGAAAGCAAGACCCAUAUUUUCCUAAGAGCAAAGACAGGAUUGUUGGAGAAGAGGGAGGGAGGAAGAAAAGGGAAAGAAUUUUGCUUAUGGCGCAGGCAUUACUCACUUUCUCCCCUUACAGAGUUAUCUGGUCCAAAAAAGAACCUACCAGGAUUAUUAUCAUCAGAGAAUACCCACAAUCAAUUCCAGCAGGUGACUUUUGAGUAAAGAUUUUUUUUUAAGAUACAGUCCAAUGAAAGAAACUACUAGGAGCUGUUCGGAGCAUCUGGCACCCAGUUCAAGCUGGCCCUGGGGCACUUACUACUCCAUAAAUAACAAGCAGCACACCCACCGCCACAGGAAGCUGCCUGCAUCUGACAGUAGUCAUACCUGGGUUGAGCAGUGCAUGCAGAGCGGUGCACCUGCCCUCGCGACUGCCCCUGUCUCGCCCCUCAGGAGGCCUUUGUGAAAAUACUGAUGACUGCAGACAACAGUUCAGCCAGCCACUUCUCCAGUGGUCACCUGCUCCAGGAACUGGCUGCUCCCCAGGGCUUUCCCUGAGGGAAGAGGAGCUGGACCCUCCCGAACACCUGCUCAGCAGCUUCCAAUCUGCAGGGUGUUUUCCUUCACCGCAGGGUGGCUAGCAAGCCCCCCGCCCGUCACCUCCACAGUCUCCGUGACACUGGAGGAUGAGCAGUGGGCAUCUGCCAAGUCUGCAGAGGCAGUCCACUCUGCCUCGUUUUCUCCAAGUUUGCCUGCUUAUCGCCAAGCCCCCAGAAAGCUGGCCCAACCAACAGUCCCCCAACCUGACCCUAAGAGUGCCCUGAAGAGCCCAGGAGUCCCUUCCCAUGCAGCAGCUGAUAGGGGUGUCUCGUGACUCUCCAGGCCCCACCGCUGAAUUGCAAGGAUUUGGGUUCUCAACCCUCAGGGACCCUGGUUGUGGGAAAUGUCUCAAGUCAAUCUACAGUGAAAACGGCUUCGAACCCUUCCACCUCCCGAUGGUUGGGCUUCCUGGUCUCUGGAGUUUACCUUCUGCUCCCUUGGCACUGGGAGCUGCGGGGUCUGUCCUUGCUCCCUGCUGGCCCCCACGUGUUCUCUGGUCUACACCCUUGUUUAUGAGCCUGCUUCACUGCCUUCAGCUGUCUGUGGUCUCACAGAGGAUGGGUGGCACUCCUCAGCCUGUUAUCGCGGCAGAUACAGUUCUGGGAAGAGAAAAAAUAAGGUCUUGCUUUGAGGAGGUAAGUGGGAGAGACUGACAUGGAGGUGCAGAUAAAACGCACCGUAGCUUGUUUUCAUGCCUCUCAACUGAAAUCAGAGAAUAGCCACAGAGGAGCAGGGCGCCCAGACCAGGGGAGGGGCCAUCCGGGCCUGGGAGGAGAGAGCCCUGGGCCCUGGCAAAGUCUCUCUGGGGCAGCCUGAGCUCACAUUUAAAAGGGGGAAAGGUUUCUGAAAUAUGCAGAGUGGUUGAUAGCUGUGAUGCCCAUUGCGACCACCCCUGGGGACAGAGGGAAGAGGGGGACAGGAGCUCAGCAGGUGCAGCACUUAGAACAGGCAGGGCCUCGGGCUUCUCUUCCCUCCUCCUGCCCUCCCCCUCCCCCCUUUUCUCCCUUCCCUCCUCCCUUCCUUUCCGCCCCACCCCCCUU
rnacentral:lncRNA from 1 species